CUCAUUUUUCUCUUGCCGCCACCACGAAAGAAGUGCCUUUUGCCUCCCGUCAUGAUUCUGAGGCCUCCCCAGCCAUGUGGAACUGUUUGAGGCACAGAGCUGUAUAUACAAUAACAGUGAAAUUGAUCCCACUACUAAUUAUGACAAAAAUGAUCUUCCACGUAAACAGGUGGUGAAGCUCCUUAUGGUCCUGACCCUACAGUUCCUGUCCCAUGACCAGGGCCAGAUCACCAAGGAGCUGCAGCAGUUCGUCGUCAGUGGCAGCCCCAUGCGAGCACCCGAGGAAGUCACAGGUGCCCAGGCCGGAGUGCAGUGGCGUGAUCUCGGCUCGCUACAACCACCACCUCCUAGCAGCCUGCCUUGGCCUUCCAAAGUGCUGAGAUUGCAGCCUCUGCCCAGCCGCCACCCCGUCUGGGAAGUGAGGAGCGUCUCUGCCUGGCCGCCCAUCGUCUGGGAUGUGAGGAGCCCCUCCGCCCAGCAGCCGCCCCGUCUGAGAAGUGAGGAGCCCCUCAGCCCGGCAGCCACCCCAUCUGAGAAGUGAGGAGCCCCUCCACCUGGCAGCCACCCCGUCUGGGAGGGCUGUGACCGUCUAUGACAAGCCAGCAUCUUUCUUUCAAGAGACCUCUGGACCUGCAGCACCAACUCUUCAUGAAGCUGGGCGGCACGCACUCUCCGUUCAGGGCCUGAACCUGAGGACCCAGACACGGAGCGGUCGGCCUUCAUGGAGCGGGAUGCUGGGAGCGGGCUGGUGAUGCGCCUCCGCGAGCGGCCAGCCCUGCUGGUCAGCAGCACAGGCUGGACAGAGGACGAAGACUUCUCCAUCUGCUGGCAGCUUUAGAAAAGUUUGAACAACUGACUCUUGAUGGACACAACCUUCCUUCUCUCGUCUGUGUGAUAACAGGCAAAGGGCCUCCGAGGGAGUAUUACAGCCGCCUCAUCCACCAGAAGCAUUUCCAGCACAUCCAGGUCUGCACCCCUUGGCUGGAGGCCGAGGACUACCCCCGCUUCUAGGGUCGGUGGAUCUGGGUGUCUGUCUGCACACGUCCUGCAGUGGCCUGGACCUGCCCAUGAAGGUGGUGGACAUGUUCGGGUGCUGUUUGCCUGUGUGUGCCGUGAACUUCAAGUGGCAGGAGCAGAACCCGAAUCUUUCUGGGGAUAGCUUCACAGAUCCACCGCUGAGGAGGAAACAGUGCAGAGCGAGCUGCCCACAGUGAGGCCCUGCUCCUGGUUUACAUGAGCUGGUGAAACAUGAAGAAAAUGGCCUGGUCUUUGAGGACUCAGAGGAACUGGCAGCUCAGCUGCAGGUGCUUUUCUCAAACUUUCCUGAUCCUGCGGGCAAGCUAAACCAGUUCCGGAAGAACCUGCGGGAGUCGCAGCAGCUCCGAUGGGAUUAGAGCUGGGUGCAGACUGUGCUCCCUUUGGUUAUGGACACAUAACUCCUGGGCCAGAGGCUAAAACCCCGGGACCCCUGCUGUCCUUCCCACAGCUUCUUCUCAGAGUCUCAGGGCAAAUCCUUUCGAGCAGCGCCUCCCAGUGGCCAGAAGCUGAAAUGAUGGCAGUAGUGCCACCUGGUGAAUGAAUUGGUUCUGUGACCCGGGAA
ensembl:lncRNA novel transcript